GUAGGUGGCAAGCGUUGUCCGGAAUUAUUGGGCGUAAAGCGCGCGCAGGCGGUUCUUUAAGUCUGAUGUGAAAGCCCACGGCUCAACCGUGGAGGGUCAUUGGAAACUGGAGAACUUGAGUACAGAAGAGGAAAGCGGAAUUCCACGUGUAGCGGUGAAAUGCGUAGAGAUGUGGAGGAACACCAGUGGCGAAGGCGGCUUUCUGGUCUGUAACUGACGCUGAGGCGCGAAAGCGUGGGGGAGCAAACAGGAUUAGAUACCCUGGUAGUCCACGCCGUAAACGAUGAGUGCUAAGUGUUAGGGGGUUUCCGCCCCGUUAGUGCUGCAGCUAACGCAUUAAGCACUCCGCCUGGGAGUACGGCCGCAAGGCUG
rnacentral:rRNA from 1 species